rnacentral:rRNA from 1 species
UACAGAGGUCUCAAGCGUUGUUCGGAUUUAUUGGGCGUAAAGAGCUCGUAGGCGGCUUGUUGCGUCGACCGUGAAAACCCGGGGCUCAACUUCGGGCUUGCGGUCGAUACGGGCGGGCUAGAGUUCGGUAGGGGAGACUGGAAUUCCUGGUGUAGCGGUGAAAUGCGCAGAUAUCAGGAGGAACACCGGUGGCGAAGGCGGGUCUCUGGGCCGAUACUGACGCUGAGGAGCGAAAGCGUGGGGAGCGAACAGG